AAGACGACGAUGGCGGUGACCUCCGGCCCCGUCUGUCUCCUUUGUAUGUCUGUCAAUUGGUCUGUCGGUCGGUCGGUCGGUCGUCCGUCCCCCUCCCUCC
rnacentral:pre_miRNA from 1 species